rnacentral:rRNA from 1 species
GCCUAGCCGUAAACAUAAACAGCCUGUCACCCCGCUGUUCGCCCGGGUACUACAAGCCCUAGCUUAAAACCCAAAGGACUUGGCGGUGCUUUAGACCCCCCUAGAGGAGCCUGUUCUAGAAUCGAUAAUCCCCGUUCCACCUCACCCUCUCUUGUUCUCCCCGCCUAUAUACCGCCGUCGUCAGCUUACCUUGUGAAAGAUGAAUAGUAAGCAAAAUUGGCAGAGCCCAAAACGUCAGGUCAAGGUGUAGCGUAUGAGAGAGAAAGCAAUGGGCUACAUUUACUGUCCCAGUAAACACGGAUCUUGCAGUGAAACGAGCAUCUGAAGGAGGAUUUAGCAGUAAGGGGGGACUAUGAGAGCCCCCCUGAAAACGGCCCUGAAGCGCGCACACACCGCCCGUCACUCUCCCCACCGGACCCUGCACAUAAAUAAUACCUGUUCACCACAAAGGGGAGGCAAGUCGUAACAUGGUAAGCGUACCGGAAGGUGCGCUUGGAAAAACC